rnacentral:rRNA from 1 species
GGGGCUAACAUGCAGUCGACGGUGAGCGGAGCUUGCUCUGUGGAUCAGUGGCGAACGGGUGAGUAACACGUGAGCAACCUGCCCCUGACUCUGGGAUAAGCGCUGGAAACGGCGUCUAAUACUGGAUAUGAGCUGCGACCGCAUGGUCAGCAGUUGGAAAGAUUUUUCGGUCUGGGAUGGGCUCACGGCCUAUCAGCUUGUUGGUGAGGUAAUGGCUCACCAAGGCGUCGACGGGUAGCCGGCCUGAGAGGGUGACCGGCCACACUGGGACUGAGACACGGCCCAGACUCCUACGGGAGGCAGCAGUGGGGAAUAUUGCACAAUGGGCGAAAGCCUGAUGCAGCAACGCCGCGUGAGGGAUGACGGCCUUCGGGUUGUAAACCUCUUUUAGCAGGGAAGAAGCGAAAGUGACGGUACCUGCAGAAAAAGCGCCGGCUAACUACGUGCCAGCAGCCGCGGUAAUACGUAGGGCGCAAGCGUUAUCCGGAAUUAUUGGGCGUAAAGAGCUCGUAGGCGGUUUGUCGCGUCUGCUGUGAAAUCCCGAGGCUCAACCUCGGGUCUGCAGUGGGUACGGGCAGACUAGAGUGCGGUAGGGGAGAUUGGAAUUCCUGGUGUAGCGGUGGAAUGCGCAGAUAUCAGGAGGAACACCGAUGGCGAAGGCAGAUCUCUGGGCCGUUACUGACGCUGAGGAGCGAAAGGGUGGGGAGCAAACAGGCUUAGAUACCCUGGUAGUCCACCCCGUAAACGUUGGGAACUAGUUGUGGGGUCCAUUCCACGGAUUCCGUGACGCAGCUAACGCAUUAAGUUCCCCGCCUGGGGAGUACGGCCGCAAGGCUAAAACUCAAAGGAAUUGACGGGGACCCGCACAAGCGGCGGAGCAUGCGGAUUAAUUCGAUGCAACGCGAAGAACCUUACCAAGGCUUGACAUAUACGAGAACGGGCCAGAAAUGGUCAACUCUUUGGACACUCGUAAACAGNGUGGUGCAUGGUUGUCGUCAGCUCGUGUCGUGAGAUGUUGGGUUAAGUCCCGCAACGAGCGCAACCCUCGUUCUAUGUUGCCAGCACGUAAUGGUGGGAACUCAUGGGAUACUGCCGGGGUCAACUCGGAGGAAGGUGGGGAUGACGUCAAAUCAUCAUGCCCCUUAUGUCUUGGGCUUCACGCAUGCUACAAUGGCCGGUACAAAGGGCUGCAAUACCGUGAGGUGGAGCGAAUCCCAAAAAGCCGGUCCCAGUUCGGAUUGAGGUCUGCAACUCGACCUCAUGAAGUCGGAGUCGCUAGUAAUCGCAGAUCAGCAACGCUGCGGUGAAUACGUUCCCGGGUCUUGUACACACCGCCCGUCAAGUCAUGAAAGUCGGUAACACCUGAAGCCGGUGGCCCAACCCUGUGAGGACC